GGCAGGAGGGAGGGGACAGUCGAGGCGGCAGACACCGCGCGGUCAAAGGCACAGCGGAGGCAAUUGGAGAAGUGCACGCGGUGCAAGUGGCCAGGUCUGCUGCAGGGGGCAGGGGCGCAUCACUGGCUUUGGGGCCAGACAACGGGGGUGGCAGAGCCGGGUCCCGCACCCUGGGGCCCCCACCUGCACCACCAUGAGGGUCUUGCUGUCGCCGCUGAGCGAGUCCUGCAGCAGGCGGCUGCCCUCCGCCCCCGACUUGCCCACGCGCUCCGAGCCGGCCAGGUCCACCAGGUUCAGCUUUCCUGCGGGGAGGGCGCGGGGCAGGUCACGGCCGCCCGAGGUGGGGUGGGGCAGGGGGGGGCUCCGGGCCCGCCCCCCGCCCCCGGCUCACCCGUGGUGCGCAGGCCCGUGCUGCAGUCCACGCCGCGCACCGUCACGAUGAGCAGCGCGUGCGAGCGCGAGCUGUGCUCGUUCAGACGAGCAAACAGGCUCAGAGAGGCGAGAAGACUGCCCCAAAGUCACACUCAGGACAAGGCAGAGCUUGAAUUGGAACCCCCCAAGCCAGGGGGUCCCCAGCAUCCUCCCCCACCCCCCACCCAGCAGAUCCAGCCCUGCUGCCCGCCAGCCCCACACCUUGUGGAUGUCGCCCACACUCUGCACCCGGAACUCGGUCAGCCCCGGCACAUACAGCUGCCCGCUGCCGUCCGGGCACAGCCGGAUCUCCAGCUUCUCCUGGGGCUCCUUCCCCAGCAGGUCCCUGGAGGGGCAGGCGGCACAGUCACUCCCUCCUCUAGGCCUCUGUCUGGAAGGUCCCCCAGCCCUCUCCCCCUCCUUCAGCCCAUCUCUGCCCCUCUGGCCCCAACGCUGCACUCAGAUGAAGAGGUGCCAGUUUGAUGCCCCCAAAAGCUCUGGGGCCUGCACUGCUCCUGCCUCCCACUGAGCCCCCCACCCUCAUCACCACCUGGAGGGGCAGGAACACUGCUCAGCCCACAGGAAGGGUGAGGAGAAAAAUGUUUCCAAGGCAGGCUCAGAGAGCCCCUCCUGUGGGGAGGGGGCCUGGGACCCCCAAUCUGCCUGGGCUGAGUCGGACAUACGUCUGGGCCCCUUCCUGGGCUCCACACAGCCUCACCUGGACCCCUGGACUGCCUUCAGGGCCACCCUGCCUCCCAGCCCCCAUGGGUGAGGCCGGGCUCCGUGCCGCUGCCUCCCACCUGAGGACCUCGUUGUAGAUCUCGGCCCCGCUGACGGUGAUGGUGUACUCCCAGUCGGAUUCCUUCUCAUGCACCUCAGAGAAGAGCAGCUGCAGGGCUCGCUGGUUGAUGCCUGGGUUCUCGGGGGUCCCCUGGGGGUGGAGGGAGAGGCCCUGUGAGCCUGGCAUCCCCACUCCCCCAGCCGCCCCUCACAGGUGAGCCUCCCUGCUCAAAGCCCCACCUGCCUGUCAGUCUGCCUCCCCAAAACGCCCUCCUCCAUCCGCGGAGGGAGGGUGACCACGAGCUGGGAGACGGAGCCCUGCCAGGCCCUGGGAGCCACAGUAAGCGGCAGGUGCCCCAUGACACCUCCAUGUGGCCCAUCUCCCACUGCCCAGGUCCCCUGCGGGGCUGAGACCCCACCCCAUUCACCUCGAUAUUCCCUGCGGCCUAGUGUGGGGCGGCCUUAACCCCAGAGCUCAGUAAACACAUGUAGUCAAACAAAAGUGACAGCCACUGAGGGGCCAUGCCCCUGCCUGGACUCUGCCCCGGCAGCCGCGCCUCUGAUGACAGUUUGUGACAGUACCCCAGGUACCAUCACCUCUGGGACUGGCCGCUUGAAACCUUUCAGCCCCACGGCAGGAGGGAGGCAGAGGUGGAGCAGAGCCGAGUGGCCUGGCACUGAGGCCCCAGCCCUGCUCUCUCCCUGCUGUGCCACCUCGGCAAGGUGCGCCCCUCUCCAGGGUCAGCCGGAGCACAGUGGGCUCUGCUCCCAUGGUGGCCGUGGGGGUGACCAUGCUGAAACCUCGGUCAGCGGCAGCAAGGGGCAGGCUUCCCUCACCAGCCACAGAGACGCCAGGGCGGCUGCACCCACCUCCAUCGUGUAUGUCUUGCCAGCGCCCGUCUGGCCAUAGGCAAAGAUACAGACGUUGAAGCCAUCGAUGCAGGAGGUGGAUGAUGGAGUCAUCGUCGGGAUCGAAGGUCACGGCAUUGGCCGCCUCAGGCCCUUCCCCAUCCUGUUUGGUGACUGGCCGGACACGGGCAAUCACCCGGAUGUUCCCUGGAUUGUUUGGGUGCGGCACACGAUGGGUCCAGUGGGUCAGGACCAGCCUGCCCCCACCCUGGCGUCCACUGGUGUCCUGAGCCGACUUGCCCCCUGCCUUCUAAGCAAGGCCCCCCCAGGACAAGGGGUCCUACAAAGCUGCCAUCAAUCACUCACACUAUACUGCAGCUCUCGCCGGUACUUGCGCAGCAGCUCCUGGUUGUUGCUGCUGACCUCGUCGAUGGCCUGGCCGAUCUGGUGGGUGCACACAGCUGUCGGGGCCCCGCUGGCCUCGCUCGACCACCCCACCCUGGGCUAAGUACUCUCCGCGAGCUGUCAUGUAUUGCACUUCCCAGUAACCCUCUGGGUAGCGACUGCUUGCUCGCACCCCCACUGUACAGAUGAGACCCAGGGAGGCUGAGCCUGGGGCUCCCAGUUGCCCUGCCUAUGAGCAGAGAGCCAGUCAGCCCUGACCCGCAGCACGGCACCGAACUACGACACGACGUGCCUGGACCCGCAGUCCAGCUCUGCCCCUGGGCCUGCGGCAACCUGCUCAGUUUCCUUCAGCCUUGAUGUUGUCAUCCGUAAAAUGGAGAUAAUUUUCUAACUUGUGGAUCUGGAGGUGGAGAUGAAAAGUCUCCACGUGACAUUUCAUAGGGGAAAAAAGCAGCAAGAUGCAAAUCUGCACAUCCAGCACGUUCCCUCUUGUAGGGUGAAAAGAAGUGUACACAUGUACCCAUUAAUGGGCUUCAAUGUGCUCAGACGCCCCCUGGGGCAGGUGUCUCGGGGGGUGGGCUGCAGCGGCAGGAGAGCCCUGCUCCGUUCAUCUCAUGCCCUUCGGCCGCAUGUGAAUUCUUCACCGUGUCCAUGUAUUUUUAACACAAUAUUUUUUUGAAGAACUAUAUUCUACUCCCAAAAUACAUCAGCCUGUCUACCCUGCAGAGCUGUCAUACAAAUUCAAGGAGCCGACAGCUAUAAAAGCCUCGGCAUGUAGGAGGCGCUUAAGAGAUGCUACUUGUCCGUGCAAGUGUAUCUUAAAAAAUUAAAUGAAAUCUUACAUGUUUGGGGUAUAAAAAUAUAUGUAACAUGCUUGUUCACUUUAAAGACUCAUAGUAAGACAAGCACCCAUAUACCA